rnacentral:piRNA from 1 species
UGUUAUACAGGGUUUGUUGAACAUGUGA